GGCCCGCGACGUUCGCCUCCAGUGGCGCCUCCUCAAGGUGACCCCUCCGCUCCAUCCACUCCCUCCUCUUUAUCCUAGGAUUUCGAUCGGCUCCUCACUGAUGCUACUGACUAGCGUGUGCUCGCGGAGAUGUCAGGCGGAUGAGAACUGGAGGAUGUGGGAGGCGACGUGCAUGGCCCUAUGGCGCUCCGACGAUGACUGGAUGUUCCCCGGUUGCUACGGACUGCUACCCUUGUCUGCUGCACUGAAUAUAGAACACCUAAUUCCCUAAAGAGUGAAAAUGAGGAUCUAAAGAUUUUAUACAAGUGUGAGCUGGAAAACGAGGAGCUUAAGAUAAGAGCCAACGACCGGGAGGAGGAGGAGGACGCACGGCAGCGUCAGAAUCAGCGCGUCGGAUCCGGCUGAGGCUUACGUCGACACGGAUGCGGAGGCUCUAGCUGCAGCCGCCGCGCUCUAUGCCCCGCCCCUGCUCGCCGAGCCCUGCCUCUCUGGAUCUCCAGCAAUGGAGGUCGCUUCUGGCAUGUUCCGCAAGUUCAAAACGAAGAAGAUCUCUGUUUGCACAGCCCUUCAGGGGAACAAAUGGAUUUCUGCACUCCGUCAGGUCAACACCACCGAGUUAGUUCAUGAAUCCAUCAAAUUAUGGUUGUUGAUCAGAGAGGUGCAAAUACCACAGGCCAAGAUGUCGUCUCCUGGUGUUGGACAACAGAUGGAAUGUAUAUGACGCGCUCAACCUACAAGGCAAUGUUCUGGGGCUCUUACUCGAGCACUUGCUCUCGAACUUUCUGGAAGGCUUUGGCUGAAAACAAAGUAAAAAAUUUCUGUUGACACCCGUCGCUUGGGAGGAUUCUGACCGCGGACAAGCUGAUCCAGAGAGGAUGGCAAGGAAGCGAGAUUUGUUCGAUGUGCAG